rnacentral:rRNA from 1 species
GACGGGGGAUGCAAGUGUUAUCCGGAAUCACUGGGCGUAAAGCGUCUGCAGGUGGUUUCCUAAGUCCACUGUUAAACCUUGAGGCUCAACCUCAAAUCUGCAUUGGAAACUAGGAGACUUGAGUAUAGUAGGGGUAGAGGGAAUUUCCAGUGGAGCGGUGAAAUGCGUAGAUAUCGGAAAGAACACCGAUGGCGAAGGCACUCUACUGGGCUAUUACUGACACUCAGAGACGAAAGCUAGGGGAGCAAAUGGG